UACGGAGGGAGCUAGCGUUGUUCGGAAUUACUGGGCGUAAAGCGCGCGUAGGCGGCUUUGUAAGUUAGAGGUGAAAGCCCGGGGCUCAACUCCGGAAUUGCCCUUAAGACUGCAUCGCUAGAAUCCGGGAGAGGUGAGUGGAAUUCCGAGUGUAGAGGUGAAAUUCGUAGAUAUUCGGAAGAACACCAGUGGCGAAGGCGGCUCACUGGACCGGUAUUGACGCUGAGGUGCGAAAGCGUGGGGAGCAAACAGG
rnacentral:rRNA from 1 species